rnacentral:rRNA from 1 species
GAUGAACGCUGGCGGCGUGCCUAAUACAUGCAAGUCGAGCGAACGGACGAGAAGCUUGCUUCUCUGAUGUUAGCGGCGGACGGGUGAGCAACACGUGGAUAACCUACCUAUAAGACUGGGAUAACUUCGGGAAACCGGAGCUAAUACCGGAUAAUAUUUUGAACCGCAUGGUUCAAAAGUGAAAGACGGUCUUGCUGUCACUUAUAGAUGGAUCCGCGCUGCAUUAGCUAGUUGGUAAGGUAACGGCUUACCAGGGCAACGAUGCAUAGCCGACCUGAGAGGGUGAUCGGCCACACUGGAACUGAGACACGGUCCAGACUCCUACGGGAGGCAGCAGUAGGGAAUCUUCCGCAAUGGGCGAAAGCCUGACGGAGCAACGCCGCGUGAGUGAUGAAGGUCUUCGGAUCGUAAAACUCUGUUAUUAGGGAAGAACAUAUGUGUAAGUAACUGUGCACAUCUUGACGGUACCUAAUCAGAAAGCCACGGCUAACUACGUG